rfam:Schistosoma mansoni strain Puerto Rico chromosome 2, complete genome
GCACUGCUGACGAGUCUCGCAAUAGGACGAAAUGGCCGUCCAGUGC